AGCGAACGCUGGCGGCAGGCCUAACACAUGCAAGUCGAACGAAGUCUUCGGACUUAGUGGCGGACGGGUGAGUAACACGUGGGAACGUGCCUUUAGGUUCGGAAUAACUCAGGGAAACUUGUGCUAAUACCGAAUGUGCCCUUGGGGGGAAAGAUUUAUCGCCUUUAGAGCGGCCCGCGUCUGAUUAGCUAGUUGGUGAGGGAAAGGCUCACCAAGGCGACGACCAGUAGCUGGUCUGAGAGGAUGAUCAGCCACAUUGGGACUGAGACACGGCACAAACUCCUACGGAAGGCAGCAGUGGGGAAUCUUGCGCAAUGGGCGAAAGCCUGACGCAGCCAUGCCUCGUGAAUGAUGAAGGUCUUAGGAUUGUAAAAUUCUUUCACCGGGGACGAUAAUGACGGUACCCGGAGAAGAAGCCCCGGCUAACUUCGUGCCAGCCGCCGCCGUAAUAC
rnacentral:rRNA from 1 species